rnacentral:rRNA from 1 species
UACGUCGGUGGCAAGCGUUGUCCGGACUUAUUGGGCGUAAAGCGCGCGCAGGCGGCCUUUUACGUCUGAUGUGAAAGCCCACGGCUCAACCGUGGAAGGUCAUUGGAAACUGAAAGGCUUGAGUACAGAAGAGGAAAGCGGAAUUCCACGUGUAGCGGUGAAAUGCGUAGAGAUGUGGAGGAACACCAGUGGCGAAGGCGGCUGUCUGGUCUGUAACUGACGCUGAGGCGCGAAAGCGUGGGGAGCAAACAGG